AUGUUGCAGGCUCAUUUAUUGUUAAUAAAUGAUAAUGCGGAAAAUAAAUUAUCAAAUAAUAUUGGGCAAAACAAUACUUGUUUUGGGCUUGUUUUUGAAGCUCCAGUUGCUUAUUUGUCUCGCAAGAGUUGGCAACUGUGGAUUCAUGUCUCAUGUCCACAACUUGGGAACACACAGCCCUUGAUAUUUAUACAGAACUUGGGCCGUUGGCAGUGGGAGUUCCUCUACGUUACCUAGACAGGGAAAGGACAUUUUAGAUAUGAUCCAGAUGUUUGCAUACUGCUUAUGAGUGAUGUUUCUGUUGAGUGGAGUUGAAUAACGUUUCUGAUGGACUCUAUAAUUAGGAAAAGAUGAGAGGGUAAGUUUAGCAUCAAACGACAAUUUGCACAUUAACAGUUUUGCGUGUUUGUUUUAAACACCAAAUUCACAGUUAACACAAAGUCUGAACUGUUC
rnacentral:lncRNA from 1 species